GACGAACGCUGGCGGCGUGCUUAACACAUGCAAGUCGAGCGGUAAGGCCCUUUCGGGGGUACGACGAGCGGCGAACGGGUGAGUAACACGUGGGUGACCUGCCCUCAGCUCUGGGAUAAGCCUGGGAAACUGGGUCUAAUACUGGAUAUGACUCCACGGUGCAUGUCGUGGGGUGGAAAGCCUUGUGCGGCUGAGGAUGGGCCCGCGGCCUAUCAGCUUGUUGGUGGGGUGAGGCCUACCAAGGCGACGACGGGCAGCCGGCCUGAGAGGGCGACCGGCCACACUGGGACUGAGACACGGCCCAGACUCCUACGGGAGGCAGCAGCGGGGAAUCUUGCGCAAUGGGCGAAAGCCUGACGCAGCGACGCCGCGUGAGGGAUGACGGCCU
rnacentral:rRNA from 1 species